CCUGGGCGAAGCCUGAUGCAGCCAUGCCGCGUGUGUGAUGAAGGCCUUAGGGUUGUAAAGUUCUUUCAUCGGGGAGGAAGGUGAUAAGGCCAAUACCCUUGUCCCCUGACGUUACCCUGCCAACAAGCACCGGCUUACACCGUGCCAGCAGCCGCGGUAAUACAA
rnacentral:rRNA from 1 species